GGUGGCCUACGGGACGCAGCAGUCGAGAAUCAUUUACAAUGGGGGAAACCCUGAUGGUGCGACGCCGCGUGGGGGAAUGAAGGUCUUCGGAUUGUAAACCCCUGUCAUGUGGGAGCAAAUUAAAAAGAUAGUACCACAAGAGGAAGAGACGGCUAACUCUGUGCCAGCAGCCGCGGUAAUACAGAGGUCUCAAGCGCUGUUCGGAAUCACUGGGCGUAAAGCGUGCGUAGGCUGUUUCGUAAGUCGUGUGUGAAAGGCGCGGGCUCAACCCGCGGACGGCACAUGA
rnacentral:rRNA from 1 species